rnacentral:rRNA from 1 species
AGUGAACGCUGGCGGUAGGCCUAACACAUGCAAGUCGAACGGCAGCACAGUAAGAGCUUGCUCUUACGGGUGGCGAGUGGCGGACGGGUGAGGAAUACAUCGGAAUCUACCUUUUCGUGGGGGAUAACGUAGGGAAACUUACGCUAAUACCGCAUACGACCUACGGGUGAAAGCAGGGGAUCUUCGGACCUUGCGCGAUUGAAUGAGCCGAUGUCGGAUUAGCUAGUUGGCGGGGUAAAGGCCCACCAAGGCGACGAUCCGUAGCUGGUCUGAGAGGAUGAUCAGCCACACUGGAACUGAGACACGGUCCAGACUCCUACGGGAGGCAGCAGUGGGGAAUAUUGGACAAUGGGCGCAAGCCUGAUCCAGCCAUACCGCGUGGGUGAAGAAGGCCUUCGGGUUGUAAAGCCCUUUUGUUGGGAAAGAAAAGCAGCAGGUUAAUACCCCGCUGUUCGGACGGUACCCAAAGAAUAAGCACCGGCUAACUUCGU